rnacentral:lncRNA from 1 species
GGAGUCCUGGAAGCAGAGAGGAAGUCUUGCUUAAAGGAAAUCCACAAGUGAGCCAGAGGGCUUGGCCUCUCCCAGAGACGGUCCCUGCCUAAUGGCCGGCUUCAUCCAAGACCUGCAGCGAUGGGACAGUUGAUCGUGGAAGGAAUCGGUGAGCCCAAGCAGAUCUUCCCUCCUUCAAACCUUUUCAGGGUACCCUCAUCACUUACCAGUUUCUCUGUGCCCUGUGGGAACAGGAGAAGUUGGAAGUGCAGCCACCUAUAAUCAGAAUGGACAUCUAUGCCUGAGUGGGGCCCAUUCCUUGUGGGGCGGGUCAGAGGGUCUAGGUCAGCCCCAGGAAAGAUCAGGGCCCCUGCGUGCUCACGUGUGCGCAAUGUACUGUAGUAUAUAUACAAGUAUACACGUGUAUAGGCGAGUGGGGGUGUCACCUGCCCAUAUAUGUGUAUGUGAAGGCCAGGGGUCAAUGUUGGUUGUCUUUCUCACUUGCUUGUCACUGGGGAGAUUGGCUGUCUAAUAAAAAGCACCCAGAAUCUU